GAAAGGGGGUGCCCACAGGGCUGAGAUUAUACCCUAUGAACCUGAUCCGGACAGUGCCGGCGGAGGGACUGGAA
rnacentral:ncRNA from 1 species